UCUUGAGGGGGGGUUCUUUCGAAGGAACUGUUUUUGAUGCCAGUGGAAACUGAAAAUUCACCAAGCAAAUGACUUGCUUGCUUUCAGCUGAUUCAAACCCUAAAUCCAUGUUCAAUGCAGCAGCCAUAAUGGUGGAGCUGUAUCCAUGAACAUUCAUCUCUGCAAACCAACAUUUCUUGAACUGUGGUGUUGAAAAGUGCACAGAGUCUAGCUGUAAGAGAACCUUAGCUUGAAACAUGGAUGUCGAAGAGAAGAAUGCUCCUUUUAGACGAUUUGUCAAUCCACCAUCUGGUGACCAGCAUCUCUUGCUUUACUUCAUCAUGAGCAUUCUUGGGUCCUGAUGUGUACUCUGAUAACCCAGGAUGUUCAGCAGCUCAUGGAAUAGCUAAAGGGUUACCACCAUAUACUUCAAACAAGCUGGGUGACUCAUUUCUCCGUGUUUCUCAAUUGGAGAGCUUGUAUUACUGUCCUUAGAAAUGCUCAUCCUAGCCUGGUUUUGAAUCCAAAUAUGUUGUGCUUUUAUCUUAAAGGCAAGUUGCAUUUGUCAGGCUCAGGGGCACUAGAGGACUGCAGGUAGUUCACAAGUUUUUUUUACUUAAGAGUACUUGUGGUCAUAGAAGGUACUCAGCAAUCCAUGAAAUUUUGAAGGGGAUUGUUCUUAUUGAGAAUCCAGAUACAUCUUACAUGAGAAAAGAAGACCUGGAAAGGUUCAAAUACUUAUCUGGCAUGGAUAGUUUGAAGAUUGAUAAUAAAGAAAUGCCUAUGCUAUGAGCAUGGAUCCCAGAAAGGUGGAGAAGAAACUGAGCAAACACUCGUGCCAAUCAUGAGAAAAUUGCGGGCACUAUUUCUUCUAGACAUGAGAAACCACCAGCAAUGUUUCAACAGCAAACAAAAGGGGUCACCUUUGCAACCUUCCAGUGCCAGCACUGAAGAAAGCACUUUUGGGAGGAGCUGCAAAUUGGAUGAGUCCACCUUCUGUUGCUUUUCCUGAAUUCGAAGAUUAUAUCACAGAUGUAUCUGUCAUUUUAUCUGGCAGGGCAAGAAGGGGGUACCUGGACCACCAAUCAGAAUUGUCGAUGUAGGCAGUUGCAUAAUUUUUUCAAGUUGCUCUUCCUGUUGUGCGGAUUGAUUCUUGCAAUUCCAGCACGACAACCUUUCAUCGUUAAACUCGAAGACAGCGGGGCCACAAUUUGACGUGGCAUCCUUCUAACUGGUUCACGGCCAUAUAUAAUAACCAUGUUGGAAGUGAAGAGGACCGACCAAAGUACUCCCACCAAACUGCACAGUGACAACACCAACUCCACAGUGACAACACCAACUCUGCUGCCCACCGCCGUCGACUAUCUUAAAGGUAAAGUUUCCGGCUACAGCAAGGAAUAAAAAUUAAUUCUUCAAUUCCAUUGUUUUGUUUGGAAUGAUAAAAUGAUGUUCAUGGACUGAUUUAGUGUACCAUUUUUACAUUUUCUGUUGGUUAAUGUGACAGGAAGGAACAGACACUAGACUUGGCCUUAGCUAAAAGACCUAAAAAAACAUCUUGCCCAUAGAUUUUCUUUUCUUUUCUUUUUCUUAGUGAAAAGCCAUCGUUUUUUAUAUGUAUGAGCUUGCCUCCGGUUGCUCCAUUAAUUAUAUGUGUGAUGCAUAAUAAGUGCAUUUGAGCUUUUUAUUUAUAUAAGCUGAAUUCGGUUAUGUUUAGUUUUUUCAUGGCUCAAUUGAUGUAGACAGAGAUUUUGAAAGGUGUUGAAACACUGUAAUCUUAUUGGUAUUAGGGUUCUGUAAUUGAUGGAUAAAUUAGAACAUGAAAGGAAAAUUUAGAGAAAGAGGGAAAUAGUGAUUAUGAAUGUAGUUUGCUUAGAAGUGGAAUCAUUGCUUAGUUAAUUCCAUGAAAUUUUAUGCAAAGUUUUCUAUAAUUUGAUUAAUGGAAGUCAUUUGGUUAUCCAUUCUUUAAUUAUGUCUCUUCGGAUGUAAAUUAGGGUUUCUUUCACAAUUGUUCGGUUUUUCAGUUUUGUUCUUAUGUCUAACUAUGCAAAAAGAACUCCUAUUUUUGCCUUUCUUCUAUUAUCUGCGUUGUUUUCUAAAUUACCGACACUUCUAAAUUAAGAUGUACUUAUUCAGCUACCAUCUAAAAUAAGAUUCUUUGAUGAGUUCAUAACUGAACAUGCUAUUUUGCUGUCUCUAUUUAUUCUGCGUUUAUUAGAUGCUCUGACAUUUUGCAAUUUCCGAAUAAUGACACAAGUCUCAUCGGUGUAGCUUCUUCCUUAUUUUAUUCAUUCCUAUUUCAUCUAGUUUAGUAGCUUCUUCCUUAUUUUAUUCAUUCCUAUUUCAUCUAGUUUAGUAGCUUCUUCCUUAUUUUAUUCAUUCCUAUUUCAUCUAGUUUACAUUUGUUUUGUCGUGGCAGCAUUAGCAUUCUUUUUGUGAUAAUUGUGUUGUUUGACUUUACUUAAUGCUUUGGCAAACUUUUUGAAACAUAUCUUCUGCUAUUUCAUUCAAUGCCUGACACAGAAAAAAACGGCGAAUGUUUUAUUGAAACGACCCAUCAGUUGAAUUUAGUACCGAGGUGUCAUUUUCAUGGGCAAGGUAUUUCAGCUAUAUAUUUGUGAUUGGGUUGGUUCUGGUGGAAGUGUCUUUGAUUUUCUCUUCCAUUCUUCCUCAGUAAUCUAUAUCUUUUAGCAUGGCUUGUAGGAAACAUAAGAAACCUGCGUCCCAUGCAAUUUUUGCAAUAUUCACUGUAAUCUUCAGGCCUCAAGUUCUGAUUAUCUGAUGAUUGUCUUUGAGUGCCUAAGUUGGUCAUCUUCUACGAUAUUGGGCUUAUGGGACGCCCCCAUCAGUGGAGCUAUGGCUUUCAUUUCGUGUUUGUUCCAAAUUGCAUCGUGAGCCAGAACUAGCUGAACCACACAGUGCAAAGUUUGGACCUUCACCAUUCUUCUUUUAUCAUCACCAGCACUAGCUGAACCACACAGUGCAAAGUUUGGACCUUCACCAUUCUUCUUUUAUCACGGCUCUUACUCCAAGGGUUUGCUUGGGAAUUGGCUGUCUGUUAAAACUGGAAAUACUUGUGGCUCUAUAUUGUUCCUUUGUAUAGGGAAAAAUAUUCCGAGGGCUAGAUGUUUAAAUAUGGGACAGCCAUUCUGGAGCCAGAUUUUUCUUAUGGAUUCAAGAUUUCCUUUAGUGACUGAAUUAUAAAAUGGUUGACCUAUUUGUUGUUUA